AUAGCGUAUAUUAAAGUUGUUGCAGUUAAAAAGCUCGUAGUUGGAUUUCAAGGGUCGCGACGUGGACACACGUUUGCUCCCUACCAGUCUUUGACUGUUACUGUGAGAAAAUUAGAGUGUUUCAAGCAGGCUGUUGCAGGAAUACAUUAGCAUGGAAUAACGAAUGUGUCUAGAAUCGUGGUUAGUUCUAGAUUACGAUUAAUAGGGACAGUUGGGGGCAUUAGUAUUUAAUUGUCAGAGGUGAAAUUCUUGGAUUUGUUAAAGACUAACGUAUG
rnacentral:rRNA from 1 species